rnacentral:rRNA from 1 species
AUUGAACGCUGGCGGCAUGCUUUACACAUGCAAGUCGAGCGGCAGCGCGGGGGCAACCCUGGCGGCGAGCGGCGAACGGGUGAGUAAUGCAUCGGAACGUAUCCUGUAGUGGGGGAUAACCCAGCGAAAGUUGGGCUAAUACCGCAUGAGCUCUGAGGAGGAAAGCGGGGGACCUGAAAGGGCCUCGCGCUGCCGGAGCGGCCGAUGUCCGAUUAGCUAGUUGGUGGGGUAAAGGCUUACCAAGGCGACGAUCGGUAGCUGGUCUGAGAGGAUGAUCAGCCACACUGGGACUGAGACACGGCCCAGACUCCUACGGGAGGCAGCAGUGGGGAAUUUUGGACAAUGGGGGCAACCCUGAUCCAGCCAUGCCGCGUGAGUGAAGAAGGCCUUCGGGUUGUAAAGCUCUUUCGGACGGAACGAAAUGGGCGGGACUAAUACUCCUGUCCGAUGACGGUACCGUAAGAAGAAGCACCGGCUAACUACGUGCCAGCCGCCGCGGUAA